UUACCACCAACUUCUAAUAAAAUAUCCAGUAUAUAUCCUGAUCAAAAUGUAAAUAGCACAUGUGAGCGAUAAAUCAAAGGCAUUGACACUAUUAAGAAAAUGAGAAGAUGAGGCGGGAAAACAAGACUGUAGUAUGUUCGAACAAAUAAUUAGGAUGCCUUGAUGCCUCGUUUGUAAACUACAAAUACAAAACAGAUAUAAAUAUGGCAAUAUAAUAAAUAAUUAGUUGGAAGUUGCACGCAUCCAAAAAAUAAUAUUGAAUGUGGUAAGAUGCACGAUACCAAUAACUGAAAUUAUAUAGAAACAAUUGACAUUUUGGAAUGGAAAUUCUUUGCAUCUAGUUAAUGCUUUUUUCCUUUUUGUUUUGUGCAAUGUAUCAGUACAUGACCUGAUGAUGAGUUAGAAACAUGGAAGUAUUUAUAAAGUUGCCAUAUGCUACAAACUUAGUUCUAUUUCCCCCAUGGUGUAUAUUCUGCCUUGUAAAGAAAAAGAACAUCAAGAGAAUAAAGGGGUGACACUACGGAUGUAGGCAAGCAUACUAUAAAGAGGAAGCAUGGACCUCAAAGAAAGUGUCUAGAAUUUGGCAAACCAGCAGAGAGAACCCUGUAGGUAUAUGUUAUUAAUGAUAGGAGAAGGUGACAUCAAUCAAAUUCCAAAAUCCAAGUGAAUAAAUGGAAACAUCCACAGCUUUGUAUUCCUGGAACACAAACUAGUUCAGCUAUCUUUAAAAAAUACAGAAGUCAGACACGUUGUAAUAGGUGUAGAAUCAUGUCACUUGGCUAAUUAAGUACUACUCGUCUCAACGUGUAGAAUUUAACUAACAUCUCACUUGACUGAAUAAGUACUAUUCAUCUCAGCAUAGUUUUAUAAGAUUUUUUUCUCUUCUACUAUAUUUAGGGACUACACAGUAAACAUUCAUGUUCCUAGAUCAUAAGUAAAAGACAAGAUCUGUCUGUGUAAUUUUUUUUAAAUAUGACAUGCAGCUCACAUAAACAUCUUCCUAGAUGCAAAGCAUAGCUUCUGGUACAUGUACUCAGAGUUUUGUGGCAAGCAACAGUGAUUGAUCAGCAGAUUACCUUCCUUGCGCUCUUCAACUCCAGUUGUAGUGGGGAGAAAGCCUUAUGCAGCUCUGGGUGCUAAUGUCACCAGAUGCUGAUGGAUGAUCAUGCAGAGAACUAUGGAUCAGAAGCCCUCAGAUCCAACAAGUACUCGACCUUGCCAUGCACUGCACU
rnacentral:lncRNA from 1 species